rnacentral:rRNA from 1 species
AUGGUUGCAUGUGAUUUUGAUCUGAAUUUCACAUUCAUUUCAUGUGGGUGGGAAGGGUCUGCAUCAGAUGCAGGAGUUCUUCGUUCUGCUAUUAGCAAGGGGUUUCAUGUGCCAGAUGGAAAAUUUUAUCUCGUAGAUGGUGGAUAUGCAAACACGCCUUCUUUUCUUGCACCAUAUCGAGGAGUUCGGUAUCACCUGAGUGAAUUUAGGAGGCGGCGCUCAUCUAAUACGGGCUAUGCCGACCAUAGGGAGCUGUUCAACCAUACCCAUGCAAUUCUCCGGAACCACAUCGAAAGGAGCAUUGGUGUUCUAAAAAAACGUUUCCCUAUCUUGAAAGUGGGCAAUCACUACCCAAUAGAGUCACAAAUCAAGAUUCCGGCGGCAUGUGCUGUAUUCCAUAACAUCAUUAGAGCUCAAAGUGGUGAUGAGGCAUGGUUGGAUCACCAACCACCGUUAAUUCCACCAGAAACAUAUGUUGAUGUUCCAGAGGGAGAUGAUGUCAACCAAUAUCAUCACAAUGAGGCAAACAAUGGAAACACUCUUAGAGAUCAGAUCGCGAUGCAAAUGUGGGCUGAUUAUAACAACCAGUCGGACAUGAGUUUAUUUUGUAAAGUUUUUCUCACCUUUUCUUAG